AGAGUUUGAUCAUGGCUCAGAAUGAACGUUGGCGGCGUGGAUUAGGCAUGCAAGUCGAACGGGUCCGGUCGCAAGAUCGGGCCAGUGGCGCAAGGGUGAGUAAGGCGACGGUAACCAACCCCAUGGUUGGGCAUAGCCGCGGGAAACUGCGGGUAAUUCCCAGCGAUGUUCGCGGGGGGCAUCCCCCGCUAACCAAAGCUCAGGCGCCGUGGGACGGACCGUCGUGGUAUUAGGUCGUUGGCGGGGUAAUGGCCCACCAAGCCUAUGAUGCCUACCGGGCGUGCGAGCGCGGCCCGGCACACUGGGACUGAGACACUGCCCAGACUCCUACGGGAGGCUGCAGUCGAGAAUCUUCGGCAAUGGGCGCAAGCCUGACCGAGCGACGCCGCGUGGAGGAUGAAGGCCUUCGGGUUGUAAACUCCUGUCGAGGGGGAGGAAGGGGUAACCUUGACCUAUCCCUGGAGGAAGCACGGGCUAAGUUCGUGCCAGCAGCCGCGGUAAGACGAACCGUGCGAACGUUAUUCGGAAUCACUGGGCUUAAAGCGCGUGUAGGCGGAUGGGGACGUCGGUCGCUGAAAUCCCCCGGCUCAACCGGGGAACUGGCCCCGAAACGCCCCGUCUGGAGG
rnacentral:rRNA from 1 species